AGUGAACGCUGGCGGUAGGCCUAACACAUGCAAGUCGAACGGCAGCACAGUAAGAGCUUGCUCUUACGGGUGGCGAGUGGCGGACGGGUGAGGAAUACAUCGGAAUCUACUUUUUCGUGGGGGAUAACGUAGGGAAACUUACGCUAAUACCGCAUACGACCUACGGGUGAAAGCAGGGGAUCUUCGGACCUUGCGCGAUUGAAUGAGCCGAUGUCGGAUUAGCUAGUUGGCGGGGUAAAGGCCCACCAAGGCGACGAUCCGUAGCUGGUCUGAGAGGAUGAUCAGCCACACUGGAACUGAGACACGGUCCAGACUCCUACGGGAGGCAGCAGUGGGGAAUAUUGGACAAUGGGCGCAAGCCUGAUCCAGCAAUACCGAGUGGGUGAAGAAGGCCUUCGGGUUGUAAAGCCCUUUUGUUGGGAAAGAAAAGCAGCAGGUUAAUACCCAGCUGUUCUGACGGUACCCAAAGAAUAAGCACCGGCUAACUUCGUG
rnacentral:rRNA from 1 species